UAGAGGUGUAUAGAUGUGUCUCUGAGCCGCUGUGUUAGAGGUGGAUAGAUGUGUCUCUGAACUGUUGUGUUAGAGGUGGAUAGAUGUGUCUCUGAGCUGCUGUGUUAGAGGUGGAUAGAUGUGUCUCUGAGCUGCUGUGUUAGAGGUGGAUAGAUGUGUCUCUGAGCUGUUGUGUUCGAGGUGGAUAGAUGUGUCUCUGAGCUGUUGUGUUGGAGGUGGAUAGAUGUGUCUCUGAGCCGCUGUGUUAGAGGUGGAUAGAUGUGUCUCUGAGCUGUUGUGUUAGAGGUGGAUAGAUGUGUCUCUGAGCUGCUGUGUUAGAGGUGGAUAGAUGUGUCUCUGAGCUGCUGUGUUAGAGGUGGAUAGAUGUGUCUCUGAGCUGCUGUGUUAGAGGUGGAUAGAUGUGUCUCUGAGCUGUUGUGUUCGAGGUGGAUAGAUGUGUCUCUGAGCUGCUGUGUUAGAGGUGGAUAGAUGUGUCUCUGAGCCGCUGUGUUAGAGGUGGAUAGAUGUGUCUCUGAGCCGUUGUGUUAGAGGUGGAUAGAUGUGUCUCUGAGCUGCUGUGUUAGAGGUGGAUAGAUGUGUCUCUGAGCCGUUGUGUUAGAGGUGGAUAGAUGUGUCUCUGAGCUGUUGUGUUAGAGGUGGAUAGAUGUGUCUCUGAGCUGUUGUGUUCGAGGUGGAUAGAUGUGUCUCUGAGCUGCUGUGUUAGAGGUGGAUAGAUGUGUCUCUGAGCUGCUGUGUUAGAGGUGGAUAGAUGUGUCUCUGAGCUGUUGUGUUCGAGGUGGAUAGAUGUGUCUCUGAGCUGCUGUGUUAGAGGUGGAUAGAUGUGUCUCUGAGCUGCUGUGUUAGAGGUGGAUAGAUGUGUCUCUGAGCUGCUGUGUUAGAGGUGGAUAGAUGUG